AUGUACGCACUCGUACAUUGCGGUUCCUCCGCGCCGUCCGCACCCACCUGGCGACCGCUCGCGACGUUUUGAUCGCC
rnacentral:sRNA from 1 species